AAAACAAAAGGAAAGAACUCAAGCAAGAAAAAGGGGAACUCAAUUCCCGACUAUGUCAAUGUGCCAGGGACUGUAUUUGCGCUUUCGGAACGACCAGUAUGUUCCUUCACAGGUCAUCAGGAUGAUGUUUUGGAUCUCUCCUGGUCAAAGUCUCAGGUUAGCAAACUCACUCACAUAAAGCGUUGAUGUAGAGAAUUAAAAAAAAUCUAAAACGCAAUGAAGAAUCAGUAUAACAGCAAAAGAAGCUUAUACAAAUGCCUUUACAUUUUCUGUUAACGAUGCAAAUUUUAAUACAUGUACAGCUACUGCUUUCAUCUUCGAUGGACAAGACAGUUAGACUGUGGGACAUGGAAACAAAAGACUGUUUAAAGAUGUUUUCUCACAAUGAUUAUGGUGAGAGGCAUACACUUACAAUUUUAAAGUUCAUGGCUCUGACCUAACAGUUGAAUAACCUUAUAUUCUUAUUUAUGAGAUACACAUAACUCAUGAUGCAAGAUUGGCUUCGCAGUUACAUGUAUACAAUUCAAUCCAGCGGACGAUGAUUACUUUAUCAGUGGUUCACUGGAUGCAAAGAUUCGUAUUUGGAACGUACCUAAUCGGCAAGUUGUAGACUGGAUGGAUGUACAUGAAAUGGUUACGGCCGCUUGUUAUAAUCCUGACGGUCAGGUAGCUGCUAAUUGCUUUUCUAGUUUUCAUCUGACCAAUUGAUCUAAAUCCAUUAUCAAGCCACGAGUAUAGUUAUGCUUCUUUUGUUGUAACCUGUACACAUGAGCGAAAGUAGAAGCCUUUGAUACUUUCUUAGAUGUCAGAUCAACUGUAAAACAACAGAAUUAUAGCUAUAUAAGGAAAUAUAAUUCUCAUACACAAAGAUUUGAGUACCAGUGGCAGUUAUUAACAUCCUAAGUUUUCAGAUCAAAACAAAUCAAAAAAGCAAAUCUAUAGUAAGUUAAAAGUUAAUUCAGAAACGAUUAUGAUAAUAUGGUUUGGCUUCUGAGAAUCAGUAUAUAACAUGAAUUUUUACACUCCGCUGUCAUUUUUCAGAGUGCUGUAAUCGGUUCACAUAAAGGAACUUGUCGCUUGUAUAGCACAGCUGGUAAUGAUCUAUAUUCUUGAUCAAUUUCCCAUUUCUCCUACUUGCUAUCUUUAACAAACAUGUACUUAAGCAUGUCAAGCUUAGUUUAGUGUUAAACUAAAUCAUUGUAUUAAGAUUUAUAUAUAUUUAUCUUCUGUUUGAUUCAUGGUAAUCUAGAUUCAAAGCUUGAGCAGAAAGAGAAUAUUGAUAUUCAAACUAAGAAAAAAGCUCCGCCAAAGAAAGUUACAGGUUUUCAGGUGAACCUCUUUGUUUCUGUGAUUUUGUUGUCUCAUUCAAGAUCUAUGGUAAAGUUAAUCCUUAUAACAAUACUUAAGUAUUCUAAUCAAUAUCACAGUAUAACCCAUCAAAUCCAUCUGAACUGCUAAUUACUUCUGCGGACUCACGGAUUAGAAUAUUCGAUGGAUCAGAUAUCACUCACAAGUUCAGAGGUAUGUCCUAGCAUUUCUGCGGUAUUGGACAGGUAUUCAGUUCAUUUAUCACCAAAUUAAUUGAAUGUUGAUAUUUAUUUUGACAGGACAUAGAAAUACUAGCAGCCAAAUUGCAUCUUCCUUCAGUCCAGAUGGAAAAUAUAUCAUAAGCGCAAGUGAAGAUUCUCAAGUCUUUGUCUGGAAACUGGAAGAGUCUCGAAAUGGUAAAAGCAAAACACUUGUUAGUAUUGCAUCUCAUGAACAUUUCCCCAGUAAGGAUGUUUCGGUUGCCAUUCCAUGGCCUGGUAGUAUAAAAAAUGAGGUUCCAGUUGUAGAAUUACAUUCCAGAAAGCACUCAAAACGCACAACGCCACAAUCCCAAUCCACCAAUGUUUCUCCAACCAAAGAGGAUGCAGGAACUAAUAGUAAGGGACAGCUACCACCACUUCCACAAAAAAAUAAUCAAUCAGAUAAAGUUAAAAGUAGCCCAGAGGAGGACCAAGAUCAAAUUUCUCGUACAGAGUCAGGGAUAGGCGAGUCAUUAAGUUCGGCUUCAGUGAGAGAUGACCCAUCUUCUAUCUCUAAUUCUAGCAGCAGUUUAGGAUCUUGGUCUUCUUCUUGGUCUUGGUUUGAUGGAGGCAACAGCCACGGGCAUACUGUCCAAGCAACAGCAUGGGGCAUGGUAAUUGUGACAGCGGGUGUGGGAGGUGAGAUCAGGGCUUAUCAGAAUUUUGGACUGCCUCUCAAGGCUGGCCGUCAGACCUAUCUUUUUAGAGACCUUACAUAAAUAAAUAUAUAUAUACUGCCAAUACUCAGGAUCAGCUUUGAACAUAUAUAAACUCAUUUAAAUUUUAUUAUGCAUGAUAUACAUUUGGCAAGUGGAUCAAACAAGAACAGUAUAACUUGUUCUUUGCAGUCACUUAUACGUUGUAAUGGCAAUUUUCAUAUUAUAGUAGAUUAGCAGAAUGAUUAGAAGCUCUCUUUCUUUGUGUUGUAUUCUGGUGUCAUGAUUAGAAGUUUUCUUUCUCUGUAUCGUAUUCUAGGUAAGCUCACACCAAAUGUGUAUUGAGAAAUUUUACUCUGAGUUCAAAUUUAGUAUCUUAACUUUUGGGAAUUACUGAAAUUUGGUGCAUUGUAUUAGAUGAAAUAUUUAGCAUGCACAUUGUAUUUACAUUAUUAUAUAUAAUAGACCAGAAGAAGGUAUUCAACCACUACGAUACAUUGGGUGUCCCAAAAGAAAUUUUUAUAAUUUGGACUCGAAAAUCACAUUUAUACAGAUGAAUUUUCUUUUGCAAUUUUCAAGUGGAAUAACUUUUACAGCAUAAAGUUUACUUAACUGCCUUAGUGUGAAAUAUUUACCUGAACACCUGUGGAUCCUAUAAUCUAACUAGAUUAACUUCCACCACAUACAUAACCUCUUUUUAUGGCCUUACGAGAACUAUUUACCAACCAAGAAAUUAGAUCAAAAAUGACGGGGCUCUUACUAGAGAUGCACAAAAGAUCUGUUCGGGCCAGAUCCAGACCGGGCAAAAAAAAUCCGGAUUUUUUUCAAACCAGAUCAGGCCGGGCUUUUUAAAAAAUCGGGCCGGGCCGGGCCGGGCUUUUCCAAAAAUACUAGGCCCGGUUUAGUUAUAAAAAGCCCGGAUUUUUCAAAAAUCCGGAUUUUAUCCGGGUUUUUUUGAAAAUAUUAGGCCUGUUUUAGGCCCUCGGGCCGGGCCGGGCCAGACCGGGUUUUUUUCGGAUCGGAUUUUUCAGAUUUUUUUCCAGAUCGGAUCAGAUCGGAUUUCAGAUUUCGGAUUUUUUGAACAUCUCUAGCUCUUACUAGACAUAACCCCUUAUAAUCCAAAUGUCUAGCAUCGGACCUCUACCAAAGGAGUUGGUAGCUAGAAGAUACUUCAAAGUGACGCAUUUGCAUGCCUAAAUUUUUAUUCAGAAAAAAGAAUAUUUCAAAAUAAUAAUUUUAACUAUAUGGUCAAAAGACUUAGAAGUGUGUGUCAAAAAGUCACGACCAAUAUUUCAAAACAGAUUAGAAGUGUGUGUCAAAAAGUCAAACGACCAAUAUUUCAAAACAGAUUGAGUAUACACCUGUUCUUUCUAUUAAUCCCAUUGUAGAGUAAACUAAGAGGAAACAUUAGCAUGUAUGUUUUGGGAUCCAAAGAAGUAUAAAAGGCUAAACAAGUAAACAGUUAUAUGUGUCUAAUCAUGAACUUGAAUUCGUUUAUUUAUUAAAAAGUAGAAUAACAAGGAACUCGAAGAUAUGGUUAUUGCUAACCUGAAGAUAAGAACUUAUAGGGUUCAUGGAUGAUGGAACCAUUCUUCUUGUAGCUCCUACGCACAUUGGC
rnacentral:lncRNA from 1 species